rnacentral:lncRNA from 1 species
AUUUUUAUUUUUAUUUUCAUUUUCGCGGGUGAAAUAUACAGACUCUGACAUGAUAAAUGGCAUGGUAUCAUGAGCAGUAAACUUACAGAGCUCGUAUACAGCAAAUACAAUGAAUAAUGAAUAAAAACAAGUAAACUGGAGAACGGCUGAUUUAAGUUGCAGAAAAGGCCAAUCAUAAUACUAGUAGAUUGUAACAGGAGGGCAUCUUGGGUGCACCUGUGCGGCGGUUCCUGAAGGCGGACUCGACAUCACGAUCGUCAUGGAUGGAUGACAUGUUAUCUACAUGGAUUUGCUCGAGGGAUAAGAGGUGCACCAUGCCCACUGGCAUAGCACUGCCACCACCCCACCUAUCAUGUACUCCUAGAACGAGCCUUCGAAGCUUGGGCAUAGCCCCUGCCUCAAACCCCAUGCAUGCCGUUGCAUCAUCAUCACGAGACCUGAGAGCAAGACACUCCAGAACUGGGAAUGACCGAAUGAUCCUGUACAGAUUAUGACAGCACUGUCUUGAGGAAUACACAACACCUUGAGACUGAGAUACACGAGGGACGGCAGCUGCCCAAGAACAUGAACACCGUCAGUCUGCAACCGCUCAACACACAGAGACAGUCUAUGGAGGCAAUGAAGAUCACCAAUCCAUUUUGGAACCUUGUAGAAUGGCCAUCCUCCCAGACGUAGAUUCUCCAUACGGAGGGGAGGAUCAGAUAUUGAGUCCAGUAGGUCGACAUAAUGUUGAAGAUUGCAGGCAAGGUAGAGAAAUUUGAGGUCACAAAGCUUUCUAAUGGAGGAGAGCAAGGCUUCAACCCCUGCCUUCACCAUAUCAAACUUGUAGGACUUGGUGAGUGUCAGUUCCCUCAGAUUAGUGAGCUCGCCGAGACCCUCAAUAUCAUCCAAUGAGCUCUUGCCCAUGCAAUAACAACGUAGAGUACGUAGCGAUUUCAUGUUCCCAAUCCCAUUUGGGAGUCCUGUAUCACGCGGAAGAAUGAAAUGGGACAAGCGGUGCAACAUGACUAUAUCUGACGGGAUGUUUUGUGCCAUUCGGCAAUCUAUAUCAAUUGUCUCCAAAUGAACAGGCCCAUGGAUUUCAGUAGGAAGCUCUAUGCUGCCUGAUGCUGCUGAAACCUUCAAAUACCUAAGUUGAAACAACUGGCCAGCGGCAGUGCGGUCGACUACCAUCUCCCGGUAAUCUGGAAAAUCAAAGAGAAGCACACGUAGAUACUUGAACUCCGAAAGAGGAGGUGUGUACUUGGACUCACCAAACCAUGCAAAUGAUCGAAUUUGUGUUAAGCUAGUAGCAAUGGUCUCCGAUGUUGCGCUACCAGCAUUUAAUUUCAGAGAUAGUCGGCGGACCCUGUAGUUGCAGCCAUCCCGUUGUGCCAUGUUUUUAUAGUCAUAUGCCACACGGAUAAAAUUAUCUUCCCCACACUUGCUUAAGAUCAGAUCAAGCAUCAUAUCAUGAAUACUACAUGACAACACCUCACCACAUAUGGUAUCUUCAGGCUGAAUCAUGCCCCUAUUGAUAAGCUCAUGGAAGUAACUCUUCACAGCAUCCUCCAGAUUUGAUCCAUGUAAAUUACUGACAAACCCUUCGGCCACCCAUUGUCGGACCAGAUCAACCUUGCUAAUCUUACGGUCCUCUGGAUACAUGCCAAGGUACAGAAAACAUGCACGGAGAUAAAGAGGAAGAUGCAUGUAGCUCAGGUUUAAUAUACUCCUCAUCUCUUCCAAGGUGGGCUUUGUGGCAAACUUGGCGCUCAGUGAAUCCCUUAUGCUCUCCCACUCACUCCUUGAUCUUGCUUGACGACUAGCUAAUAAGCUAGCAAUAGUGAUGAUUGCAAGCGGUAAUCCACCACACUUCUUCAAAAUUUCAGCUGAAACUUCUUUAAAUUGUGGUGGACAGCCAUCUUCUGACCCAAAUACUCUAUUAUAGAAUAAACUUCUGGAGUCUUGCUCUUGGAGGGGAUUCAUUUGGUAAAUGCACUCACGGUCAUGGAGACACGCACGGAAAGCCACAUCACCCAGUCGUGUGGUUACGAUUACUCUACUUCCAUUACCAUCUUCAGGAAAGGCACAACUAAUAAUAUUCCAUGCCGACUGAUCCCACAAGUCAUCGACUACAAUAAGGUACCUGUUGAAAUUUUGUAGAAUUCUGAUUAUAAGCUGCCUCUGGAAAAGUUUAUGCUUAUCAAAAAACUUCGCUAUUAACUAUUUGUGAGCUGAACAUUUCAUGGCCAAUAAGUAACACAAGAUUUGGCAUUGUCCUAACAGAAAUCUCCGCGUCAUUAAAACAACUAUUUAAAUUUAUGCCAAAUGGUUUCAACUUCAGAAACUAGCUAGCCCGUAAAACUGCAGCCAUGACAACCAGAAUUAAAUAAGUACCUCUUAUGCGUGAGAUGUUCUCUAAGACGGUCGAUGAUGUCUUGCACCUCACGAAUGUGAGAAGACUCCUCCAUUCCAAGCUUUAGUUGCAGGCCACAUAGAAGGCUUGUCAUAUCAGGCCUUUGGGAAACUGAAACAAAUGCCUUACGCUCAAAUUGCCCACCAAUCUUAUUGUACACUUGCUUGGCAAGUGUAGUUUUACCCAAGCCGCCGAAUCCAACAAUAGAUACUACCUUGAGUUUUUUCUCAGCAUCAAUCAACCAACUGACAAGCUCUUCUCUGGGGCCAUCAAUACCCACAAGGCCUGCCGCCUCCUUGUAGAUUGCAGAUAUUCGGGGAUCCACAGGCACAACACAGGAGCUAUAAUCAACACAAUCGUCAAUCUUGUACCUCAUGCGUCGUUCAUUUGCCUCCAGAGCAAGAGCCUUGAGCUCCUCCAUCUGCCCAGCAAUGCGAUGACGCUCACGCAACGUCUUGAGCCGUUGAGCUGUUUUCUUGAUGAGGCCAGCCUUAGCAUCGGCACCCCCAAAUUGGCGCAUGAAGUCGUCAAUACAAUUCUCCAUGUCGUAGGACAUCUCUCUGACAUGAUCUCUCCAGUUCUUGGCCAGCGGAUCGAGUACAUCCAUGAGCUCCAGCUUCUCGAGGGCAGCUCUCAUGGCGCCGAGCUCACGCAUGAGGAACGACGCCUGCUUCCUCACCCCCUUGAGCUUCCUGUACUCGUCCCCCAUCAGCGUGGCGAGCUUGCUGAGGAGCGGGUUCAUUACCCCCAUCGUCGCGCUCACUGUUGGCGCUGACGUCAUCUCGACCCGAGCCUCCUGUCCGUGUUGUCUGGCCCAGCAGCUACGCGUGCUGCAAGUGAGCGAAGUCCGUGUUGUCCGUGUUGUAGAGGACGGCGACUUGCCGGAGCAGCCGGCGGCGAAGUCGAGCGGCCAGUUGAGGCGGAGCUCAGGAGGUGGAGACUGGAGACGGUGGCUGGUCGUGGUGCCGGGAGGCCGGGCGCCGUGGUUGGGAACCGGGAGGUGGAUGGCCGCACCGGAUCGAUCUGCGGCCGGAGGUGGGCUACGGGGAUGUGCGGCGGCGGUUGCCGUCGGUGAUGGCGGGGGGGAGAGUAGUACUGGAACAGCAGCGGGAUGCGAUUUGGGGGAGAAGGAUAAAGUCAGAGACGCGUCUGGAUAUGCAGUGGGAAAAAAUGGCAGGUUGUGAUUUGCGGGCUGAAAAAAAAAUGAAAUGCUCUGUGAUUUUUUUUUUUUUUGCGGGGGGAAAUGCUCUGUGAUUAACAUCAUCCUGACUUCAAAACAUGAAGAUUCACAACUUUCACUUGUUUUUGUAGUUAGAUUAGAUUAGAAGGAGAAAAGUCUGUUGAGUUGUCACGUUAUGCAUGUACUAUUGUGAUGUAUAUCUGAUUAUUGUUGUAACUAGGAGUCCUAGUCUUCAGGGAGUUUCCUGGUCUAGCGCCUCAUCAUGUAAUCGUGCCCUGCAUGUAGGGUUGUUUCCUUGUAUAUGUAACCGGUUGCCGAUGGCAUUGUAAACACAACAAGAUCCAUAUUCCAGUUUGGUUAUCAGAGCCAUGUCUUCGCCUCCCUCUCCCACGCGCGCGGCCGAAGCGGAUCAGGCCGCUGCUGCUGAUGCUGCCGCUGCGGCCCUUGCCGCCGGCAACCCCAUCGAUGCCUCCAACUCCACUGCCCCACGCCCUCGCGCCCCCGCUACUGAUGAGAGUUCAGGCUCCGGUGAUCUCACCCUCACUGCCGUUCCACCUACCUCUGGGCCUCCAGCUUCCUCCUCGGCCCCUCCUCCACCUCUCCCGGCCAGUCUCGCCGGCAUCCUCGACUUCAAGCUCACUCUCGACGGCGCCAACUUCACCCGUUGGCGCAACUACAUCCAUCUGAUGCUGACUCGUCACCAUGCCGAGGACCACAUCCGUGACGUCUCCGCACGCCGCAUGGCUGACCCGGCAUGGCGCGCCGACGACACCACCGUCGUCCUGUGGUUUUUCACCACCAUCGAGGGGGAUCUCCUCGACAUCGUCGCCCCCGCCGGCUCCACCGCCUUCACCAUCUGGACUCGGCUCCAUGAAUACUUCCUCGCCAACGAAGCCGAGCAUGCGAUGCACCUCGGCCAGGAGUUCCGCGCGUGCGUGCGCGGUGACCUCACCGUCAACGACUACUGCCGCCGACUGCAAGGUAUUGCUGCCGCCCUCGCCGACGUCCGUGAGCCGGUCAUGGAUCGCACCCUGACCCUGCAGAUGCUCGAUGGGCUCGGGCCGAAGUUCGCCAUGCAGGCGGCGAUCAUCCAGUCCAUUGUGUCGCUGCCCACCUUCAGCCAGGCGCGGUCUCGUCUUGUCCUCGCUGAGCUCUCCAUCGACAAGCGCGUCCGCAUUGAGGGCGCUCAGGUCCUGGCCGUGCAGAAUGACGAGCGCGGCGGCGACCGCGACGCUCCCGGUGGCGGCGGGCGCGGUGGCCAACUUGGCGCCGGCCGAAACCAGCGCGGCGGCCGCGGACGUGGACGCGGCCGUGGGCGCGGCGAUGGUCCCGCCGGCCGCGGCGGUGGCGCCCAGCCGUGGCUGGGGUACUUCGCGCCGAUGGGGCUGCCCUUCCCUCCGCCGCGCUCGCCCUGGAUUCCUCCGAACUCUGCCGGCGUCCUCGGCCCCCGUCCAGGCGUUCCGCACCAGGCGUACCCGCUACUGCUGAGUCACGCGCCGGCGCCACCAGCGCCCUCUGGUCAUGCAGCCUAUGGCGCUGCUCCACCAGGCUGGGACGCGGCAGCCAUGUACCACGCCGCCCCCAGCUACGGCUCCGCCUUCCCCGCCCACGCCGAAUGGAUCAUGGACACAGGCGCCGCCUCCCAUGUCACUGGGGACCCAGGUACCUUGACCUCUUGUCAUUCCCUUUCAGCUCCUAUACUCGUCACAUUAUUGUUGGCAAUGGCACUCGCCUUCCUGUCCUUGCGAUCGGUAGCACACACCUCCCUCCCAAACCUUUUAUUUACGCCAUAUUCUACUCUCUCCUAACAUUGUUCGCAACCUUAUAUCUGUUCGUCAGUUUACCCGUGAAAAUUUAUGCUCUGUGGAAUUUGACCCCCUUGGUUUCUCCAUGAAGGACCUAGCCACCAAGGCGCUGCUCCUGAGGGUCAACAGUGACGGUGAUCUCUAUCCCUUCUCCGGCAAUAAAGGCGCUACCACCUCCACCGCCCUCACUAUCUCCGUAUCUGAUUUAUGGCAUAGGCGGCUUGGGCACCCUAGCUCCUCCUCGUUUUCUCGUUUUUCCCUAGAUUUCCUUUCUGCUUGUAAUAAGAAUGAUCGCUCCACGCACUUGUGUGAUGCAUGUCAGUUGGGCAAACAUACUCGACCACCUUUUCCGCAUCUACCUCUUAUACUUGUGCACCGUUUCAUUUAAUUCAUUGCGAUUUAUGAACAUCCCCCAUUGUUAGUCAUUCGGGCUACAAGUACUAUCUCGUGAUUGUGGAUGAUUAUACGCAUUACUCAUGGACUUUUCCUCUCCGUGCCAAAUCUGACACAUGCAACACGCUUCUUCGUUUCUUCAAAUUUAUUUUCACUCAGUUUGGCGUGCUUGUUCGGUGUGUGCAGUGUGACAAUGGUGGCGAAUUCCUCACCACGUCUCUCCGCGACUACUUCUCCUCCAACGGCGUUGCUUUUCGUCUCACCUGCCCUCACACCUCUCCACAAAAUGGGAAGGCCGAACGCCACAUACGCACCACAAACGACGUUGUUCGAACCUUGCUCAUCCAAGCCGCCCUCCCUCCUCCCUUUUGGGUUGAGGCUCUCCAUACCGCCACCACACUCCUCAACAUUCGUCCCUCGCGUGCCAUUCAUCACUUUACUCCGCACUUCCUUUUGUAUGGUGUACAUCCCACAUACGAUCAUCUCCGGACGUUUGGCUGUCUUUGCUACCCAAACAUCUCUGCCAUAACCACCCACAAACUCUCCCCACGUUCCACGCGCUGCGUCUUUCUCGGCUACCCACGCGAACAGAAAGGAUAUAGAUGUCUUGAUCUCGCCACGCACAAAGUCAUUAUUUCCCGGCACGUCACGUUUGACGAAUCCAUUUUUCCCUUCUCUGUUCCUCCCGGUUCUGCUGCCACAGAAAAUCCCCCACCUGCCAUACCAGCGGAUCCGCCGCGCCGCAUCCCGCGUCCACCACUCCCCAUUCACCCGUCGCCAGCUGGAUGUCCCGCCAACGCCCCUGCGCUCCCACCGCGCCAUCCCGCGCCCACUCCCAGCCAUGCAGCCAACCACCCACCAGCUGCGGGCUGCUCCACUACGGGGCCCGCCCGCCAUGCAACCAAUCCCGCGCCCGCUGGCCAUGCUGUCAAUCCCGCGCCAGCAGCGGGCUGCUCACCCGCGGGGCCCGCCCGCCAUGCAGCCACUCCCAUCGCGCGUCUCCCCGCUCCCGAUUCCGUGCCCGCUUCCCCCAGCCUCGGCCCUCGUACCGCAUCUCCCUCGGGAUCGCCCCCAGGUGGAUCCCGCUCGCCACAUUCGCCGCUCCCCUCCAGUCCCGACUCACCACGUCGCCAGCUGUUCCCCCACAGCCCAUCGCUGCCGAAACGCGCUGUUCCCAUUCCACCUGUCGCCAAUCCCCAUCCCAUGCAAACUCGUGGCAAAACCGGCUACGCCAUGCCUAAGGACAUUUUUGACUUGCACGUCGACAUCGUCCCCUCUCCCAUUCCCUCCUCAUACCGUUCCACCCUUCAGGACCCGCAUUGGCAUGCCGCGAUGGUCGACGAGUAUAACGCGCUAAUUUGGAAUGACACUUGGUCUUUGGUUCCUUGUCCUGCAGGUGUCAAUGUGGUGACCGGCAAGUGGAUCUUUCGUCACAAACUCCAUCCCGACGGCUCUCUAGCGCGGUACAAGGCACGGUGGGUGGUGCGCGGUCUCACACAGCAGCAGGGCGUGGACUAUGGGGAGACGUUUAGCCCCGUGGUCAAGCCGGCUACGAUUCGGGCGGUUCUCAGCAUCGCGACAGCGCACUCUUGGCCCAUUCGUCAAAUGGACGUCAAGAAUGCUUUUCUCCACGGUGAUCUUGCUGAGGUAGUCUACUGCCAGCAGCCCUCCAGGUUCGCCGAUCCCACUCUUCCCACGCACGUAUGUCGCCUCAACAAGUCCCUGUAUGGACUCAAGCAGGCGCCCCGGACUUGGUUCCUUCGGUUCACCAGCUUUCUUCACUCCCUUGGAUUUGUCUCGUCCAAGUGUGACACCUCCCUCUUCAUCUUACGCCGUGGAGACACUACCGCGUACCUGCUUCUGUACGUCGAUGAUAUUAUCCUCACCGCUAGCACCACCCCUCUACUUCAGUCGCUCGUUCGCGCCCUCACCAGUGAGUUUUCUAUGAGUGAUCUCGGUGACCUUCACCACUUUCUCGGGAUAAACGUUCAUCGCUCCACCACCGGCCUCUUUCUCUCUCAGGAGCAAUAUGCCCUUGAGAUCCUCGAUCGUGCCAAGAUGCUCCACUGCAAGCCCAUCUCUACUCCUGUCGACACUUGCAGUAAGCUUUCCGGUGCCGAUGGUGUUCCUUAUAGUGAUCCAACUCACUACCGUCGCCUCGCUGGUGCGCUACAGUAUCUCACUCUCACCCGCCCCGACCUCUCCUAUGCCGUUCAGCAGCUUUGUCUUGUCAUGCACGCUCCGAUGGAGGGGCACUAUCAGUUGCUCAAGCGUGUUCUACGCUACCUCAGUGGCACCACUCACUACGGGCUCCAGCUCUACCGCUCCUCUUCUCAUGAUCUUCUUGCUUACAGUGAUGCUGACUGGGCCGGCUGCCCUGACACCCGUCGCUCCACCUCGGGAUUCUAUGUGUUCCUUGGAUCUAACCUCGUCUCUUGGUCCUCCAAGCGACAACACACCGUGUCUCGGUCCAGCGCCGAGGCCGAGUACCGCGCAGUUGCUAAUUGUGUGGCCGAGUCCUGUUGGCUUCGCCAACUUCUCACUGAGCUUCAUCGUCCCCCUUGCCGGGCUACUCUUGUGUAUUGUGAUAAUGUGAGUGCAGUAUAUCUCUCGUCCAACCCUGUUCCACAUCAGCGCACCAAGCACGUGGAGAUUGAUCUGCAUUUUGUCCGCGACCGUGUGGCUCUCGGCGAGGUCAAAGUGCUGCAUGUCCCGACUGGAUCCCAAUUCACUGAUGUCUUCACCAAGGGCUUACCAUCGNNNNNNNNNNNNNNNNNNNNNNNNNNNNNNNNNNNNNNNNNNNNNNNNNNNNNNNNNNNNNNNNNNNNNNNNNNNNNNNNNNNNNNNNNNNNNNNNNNNNNNNNNNNNNNNNNNNNNNNNNNNNNNNNNNNNNNNNNNNNNNNNNNNNNNNNNNNNNNNNNNNNNNNNNNNNNNNNNNNNNNNNNNNNNNNNNNNNNNNNNNNNNNNNNNNNNNNNNNNNNGCUGUCACGUUAUGCAUGUACUAUUGUGAUGUAUAUCUGAUUAUUGUUGUAACUAGGAGUCCUAGUCUUCAGGGGGUUUCCUGGUCUAGCGCCUCAUCAUGUAAUCGUGCCCUGCAUGUAGGGUUGUUUCCUUGUAUAUGUAACCGGCUGCCGAUGGCAUUGUAAACACAACGAGAUCCAUAUUCCAGUUAAGUCUACUGUUUGAAUGAUUUGUACAAAGUCGACGUGCUCAUGAUGUCAUGAUUCAGAGCUCAGAAUGGUGCAUAGAUCGUAUCUAAGCUUUCCUCUUAGCAAAGCAGAGUCAAAACCAGCUAUAUUAUCUCUCUUCAGAGUGUUGAUAUAGCCACAUAAGCCCCCCUCUUACCAUUUGAAUAAUUUGAACAAAGUGAUUGCCACUUGUUUGUUUCUCUUCGAAGUGUUCCUAUUACAACAUUUGGAAUUGGUUACGAAUUCAGAAUUACACCGAGAUAGCAAGUUAGCCAUAUUUCACAUGUUAUCUUGAAUAUUCUGUAACUUGAUUGUUACAUAUAGCUUGUGAGCUACAGUGCUUCACAUAGAUAUAGUGCAUAGGAUUAACCAAUCAAGGAGGAUGCAGGUGAUUCAUCAAUUUUCUCUACCAGCCGCAUUCAUCAGCUUUGUUUAGUUGCAAAUAUAAACACAUCUCUUUGUUUAGUUGCAAACAUUAACAACUCUAUCAAUAUCCAGCGCUUGCAUAUACUCUAGUUUUAUUUUUCAAAGGAACAGUUAAAGUGGACAACCAAGUGGCCAUCUGCAUAUACAACAAGCUGUAGAGAUUACAUGUCUAUUCAGAUCAUGUAGGAACAAUAUUUAGGCGGUCAAGAUCUGCAUAUACGACCAAAUAUCUCAAAACUCUACAUGGUAAAUUAAGUACAAUGUAUGCUGCGUAACUAUUAACUAACUCACAAACAGAAUCCCUGCACGAUAAAUAGAUGGAAUAAUAUUGAAUAAAAGAGUAAAAAAGGGAUUAUUUAUAGAGAAUGCCGAUCAAGUGAACAUAGUAAUGGAAGGGUGUUUUGGGUGCACAUCGGCAGCAGUCCGAAAGGCAGUCUCAACAUCACGUCGCUUGUGGAUGGAGGAUCUCACACAUAUACGGAUGUGCUCGAGUGCCAGCAAGUGUUCCAUGCCUAGUGGCAUAGCACCACCCCACCUGUCACAUAUUUCUAGGCCGAGCAGUCGUAGGUUGGGCAUCACCCCUGCCUCAAACUCCAUGCAUAUUGUAGCAUCAUCACCAUCUUCAGAGAAGAGUCUAAGGUCCUCUAGGAUUGGGAAUAAUCCUGUGCAGGCUAUGGCAGCACCACUAUCUUCAGGGAUAUAUGUCACCCAGAGACAUAGUUCGACGAGGGAGGGUAACUUUCCAACAACAUUAACCUCUUCAGUCGACAAAUGCUCAACCGACAAGGACAGGCUACCAAGGCAAUGGAGGUCACCGAUCCAAUUGGGAAUUCUUUUCAACAACCACCCUCGUAUAUAAAUUUUCUCGAUAUGGAGAGGAGGGUUGGACAAUGAGUAUAUCAGGUCGCAGUAAUGUUUAGAAGGCUCCCCAUGGACAAUAAGUAAUCUGAGGUCACAAAGCUUUCCA